rnacentral:tRNA from 1 species
GGGGAUGUAGUUAAAAAUAACAUCUAAUUUGCAAUUAGAAAGAACUAAAUUAGUCUUCCUCA